GAUUAUAUAUUUUAUUACUUUGUGGAAUUUGGUUGAUUUACAUGUUUUAUUACAAAAAAUUAAUUAUAAUUAAAAAAAUAAUUUUAAGAAAACCUCCAACAACGGAUCUCUUGGUUCCCAGAUCGAUGAAGAGCGCAGCGAAUUGCGAAAUGUGAUGUGUAUUGCAGUGAAUCAUCAAUUCUUGAACGCACAUGGCACCCCUUUUAGGGGUAUGCUUGUAUGAGGGUGUUUAAUAUGAAAUUGCUUUGGCUUUUUUUAAUAAAUGGUUUUUCAAACUUUGUUACUAAUAAAGAUGAAAGAAUCAGGGCCACAGGCGGGGUUGAAUCUUUCAAUUAAAAUCUUUUUUAGUUAACAUUUUUUAACUAUUUACCCCUCAUAUCAAGCAAGACUACCCGCUGAACUUAAGCAUAUCAAAAAGCGGAGGAAAAUGACGGCGGCCUGGUUUGGACCCCCGGUACACGGAGCUUCUUCUCUGGGAACGUAUCGGUUUCAAGAAGUACCCGGGAUACGAUCGAUCUCUCACGCGCCCCUGCGUUAGAGAGAGAGACCCCAUUUUUAGCUAGUGGAACUGCGGAUCACGUUGAGCAGCCGCCCCUUCUUGAGCUAUCGAAAUGAAGGAGUUUAUAUGAAAUGUCUGGCUUUUUAAUAAGAGUUCGUUCCACAAAGGAGCCAACAACAUCAACUCUUGC
rnacentral:rRNA from 1 species